rnacentral:rRNA from 1 species
AACGAACGCUGGCGGCAUGCCUAACACAUGCAAGUCGAACGAGACCUUCGGGUCUAGUGGCGCACGGGUGCGUAACGCGUGGGAACCUGCCCUUAGGUUCGGAAUAACUCCCCGAAAGGGGUGCUAAUACCGGAUAAUGUCUUCGGACCAAAGAUUUAUCGCCUUUGGAUGGGCCCGCGUUGGAUUAGCUAGUUGGUAGGGUAAAAGCCUACCAAGGCGACGAUCCAUAGCUGGUCUGAGAGGAUGAUCAGCCACACUGGGACUGAGACACGGCCCAGACGCUUACGAGAGGCAGCAGGAGGGAAGCUUCAGCAAGGGGCGAAAGCCGGACGGAGCAACGUCGCGUGAGUGAUGAAGGUCUUAGGAUCGGAAAAAUCUGUUAUUAGUGAAGAACAAAUGUGUAAGUAACUAUGCACGGCUGGACGGUACCUAAUAAGAAAGCCACGGCUAACUACGUG